GCGUUAAUCGGAAUUACUGGGCGUAAAGUGUGCGCAGGCGGCAGAGCAAGUCGAGUGUGAAAGCCCCGGGCUUAACUUGGGAAUUGCGCUCGAAACUACUUUGCUGGAGUGUGGCAGAGGAAGGUGGAAUUCCACGUGUAGCGGUGAAAUGCGUAGAGAUGUGGAGGAACACCAAUGGCGAAGGCAGCCUUCUGGGCCAACACUGACGCUCAUGCACGAAAGCGUGGGGAGCAAACAGG
rnacentral:rRNA from 1 species